rnacentral:lncRNA from 1 species
ACGGUAGAUAAAAGUUAAUGAUGAUCGGUAAACUGAUGUGACAACAGAUAUGACCUAGAAGGGCCAGGCGUAUGUUCGACUGGACGAUAGAGCCAGUUUUGGUUAUUCUCAGCCAUGUGUGAAAAACGCCAAUGCUGAUACCCAGCUUCGGAUUGACCAUGCCACAGCUCGCCAGCUCAAAAUGUGACCACAUUUCCCAGAUUUGCUAUAACAUUCACAUCAUUCCAAGUGCACCACAAUACAAGCACAGACGAGUUACAUAGUCGCAAAAUUUCAGCAGGCUUCGCCACAACAAGGCCCUCAUACAGGCGCUGUGAAUAGCAAUGGUGCAACAAAAAAAAUCUAGAAUAACUUUAAUCCAGGUCAUCUUCAGCAUCGGCCGUUUGGAGGCCAAAACAAUGCCACUUGUAUG